rnacentral:rRNA from 1 species
AUUACUGGGCGUAAAGGGCGCGUANGCGGCGCGUAAAGUCGGACAUGAAAUCAUUGGGCUUAACCCGAUGGCUGUGCCCGAUACUUGCGUGCUAAAGUGCGGGAGAGGCAGUCAGAAUUCUCGGUGUAACGGUGAAAUGUGUAGAUAUCGAGAGGAACUCCGGUGACGGAGGUGGGUUGCUGGACCGACACUGACGCUGACGCGCGAAAGCUAGGGGCGCAAACGGGAUUAUAUACCCCGGUAGUCCUACCCCUAAACGAUGAAUACUUUGUGUGCGAUUUUUUAGUACUCGCGUGUCGUAGCUAACGCGAUAAGUAUUCCGCCUGGGGAGUAUGGUCGCAAGAUUGAAACUCGAAGGAAUUGACGGGGACCCGCACAAGCGGUGGAGCAUGUGGUUUAGUUCGACGCAACGCGAAGAACCUUACCUGAGUUCAAUAUACGAUGAAGCGCCGGAAUCGGCGUGGCCGCAAGGAGUCGUAUCAGGUGCUGCAUGGCUGUCGUCAGCUCGUGUCGGGAAAUGUUGGGUUAAGUCCCGCAACGAGCGCAACCCUUGUCACCAGUUGCUAGCAGUUCGGCUGAGUACUUUGGUGAGACCGCUGAUGAUGAAUCAGAGGAACGUGGGGAU